AGAAACGAGAGAGAAAGAGGUAGAAAGAGAAUGCCGAAGAGAACGUCAUAAUACAGAAGAGGAGAGAACAGUCCUGCUCGAAGGCGUGGGCGAGGGCGAGGACGAGAGGGAUCGGCUUCAUGCACGCGUAAUGUCGCGUGAAUCAAGUUCGCAAUAACCCGCGUCUCGUAGCGGAUUACGACGCUUUGAUGAUGCUAUCAUCUGCUCUGUGUCAAAAAAUGCAGUAAGUCGCAGUUUCUCAGAAGUACAACGAACUAUUGGAACGAACGACUCGUCUAGAGUAUUUUUUCAUCGAUUUUAUGGGACUUUCGAGGUCAAUGAUAUAUCACUUGUACAUCUUAUUGUUAAUGAUCUCGAUGACAAAGAGAGGAUGAUAUUAUUUUUCAUGCGAAAAUACAUAUCUAGCGAAAAUCGCAAUCUCGCACACAAGAGACGAGAAAGAACACAAAACAGCCAGAUAGCUUGCGUCGCAUUGUGACCAGUCAAUAUUAGAAGCCACUAACAUACUCACGUUCAUGACGAAGGGCCAGCUGAUAGGCAUACUGACACUCGUACGCCCGCGUAAAAAAUAGUAGACUUAGGACAUUGCGAUCUGUUUUUAACGGCGCGAUUCAAUGAAUAACAACGUAUUCCCGCGUUAUUGGCCGAUCGCGAUUAUGGAAUAUUAUGCGACGAAACACUUUUGGAAAUGUAUAUUCUGAAUCACUGGAAUCGAGCAAAACCCCUCCCUAAUCGCAACAGCCCUCGUGCAACUGCGAGCGCGCAUGUCCUUCGAGAACAGACCGCACCACGAGUUGUUAACGAGAAAAGGGGAUGUUCUCUCUUUUCACCCAAAGUUCCUUCUAAGAACGCGAAAACGAUUGUCGAUCGAGAAUUAAAAAAUUGGAUUUACUUCCGACAUUUAAUGCUUUCUUAUGUCCGAUAAUACUGAUGUAACGAGAAUGUUGAAUUAUUUUUUUCGGAUGUUACACUACGAUCAAAGAAAAGUAUCAAGUAUCAAAUAUUUCAUGAAACAUUGUGUGGAAGUAUAAUAUCUACCACAAAACGACUCUGUACGACUAUAUAUAACACUUUAUCGAGAUCUUUCAUUCCGACAUUGUUAUCAAAAAAUACGCUAAUAAUUUAUUAUCGGUCUAUUAAAUUAUAUUGGAUGGAUAAAAAAAAGUAUACUUCAAAAAAAUUGUAUUUAAACGAAAAAUAUUUUAUUAAUAAAAGCUCUCUCACAUAAAUUGAAAUAUUCAAUUUCGUAAUAAUAGUAGAUGAUAUUGAUGGCUUAGUUUGACCAAAUAACACUCGUUUGCUAUUUUCCAAAAUUAGAACAAUAUUGGAGUUACUUAGAAUUGUCAUUUGCUCUACUUAUAAAAAUAUUUAUAAAAAUUAUAUUUUAAACAUUGAA